AAAACGACAAACCCUGGAUUUCCAUGUCCAACGUUUGAUUGUCCGUCUUAUAUGAAAUUUUUUUAUAAUUAUUAUUUUCAUUGUUGUUAGAUGAUAAAACAUGAUUAAUAUUUUAUGCGUGACUUGUCUUUUUAUUUUUUUUUCAUAAUUUUUUCAAAUAAGACGGACGGUCAAACAUUGGACACGGAAACCUAGGGUUUGUCUUUUU
rfam:Oryza sativa Japonica Group DNA, chromosome 7, cultivar: Nipponbare, complete sequence.